rnacentral:rRNA from 1 species
UAUGUGAUCGUCUCUCGCAUAUCAAUAAGCGGAGGAAAAGAAACUAACAAGGAUUCCCCUAGUAACGGCGAGUGAAGCGGGAAGAGCUCAAAUUUGAAAUCUUAAAGGGUUUCCCUUUACGAAUUGUAGUUUAAAGAAGUGUUUUCUGUUGAGGUUUUGGUAAAAGUUCUUUGGAAUAGGACAUCAUAGAGGGUGAGAAUCCCGUAUUUGACCUUUACUUUCAACUUUGUGAUACACUUUCAAAGAGUCGGAUUGUUUGGGAAUGCAGUCCAAAAUGGGUGGUAAAUUUCAUCUAAAGCUAAAUAUUGGCGAGAGACCGAUAGCGAACAAGUACCGUGAGGGAAAGAUGAAAAGAACUUUGAAAAGAGAGUUAAACAGUACGUGAAAUUGUCAAAAGGGAAGCGUUUGACACCAGUGUUGUUUUUCUCGAAAAUCAAUUAAAGAACUGUUUAUGCUAAGUUGUUUAGACUUUAUCAGCUAAUCUGCUUAGUUUUGAGCUUUUCUUUAAUGCACUUUUCAGUUAACAAGUCAACAUCAAUUUCUUUUGCUGUAAAAAAGCUUGAGGAAGGUGGCUUGAGAUUCGUCUUAAGUGUUUAUAGCCUCUUGCCUCUGCAGUCGGAGAGAUUGAGGUCUGCAGCGUAGAUCCUUCGGGGCUAAAUGCAUUUGUGCUAAGUUAUAGCAUUUUAUAGACAACCUGUUGACUAUGAUUUGUCUUGUAGCUUACUCGCUUAUGUUAUUUUACCUACGCUUAGGAUGUUGAAUCUGUGCGAGACUAC